UGGAGGCAGCAGUGGGGAAUAUUGCGCAAUGGGCGAAAGCCUGACGCAGCGACGCCGCGUGUGGGAUGACGGCCUUCGGGUUGUAAACCACUGUCGGGAGGGACGAAUGCGCCGCAAGGCGAGUGACGGUACCUCCAAAGGAAGCACCGGCUAACUCCGUGCCAGCAGCCGCGGUAAUACGGAGGGUGCGAGCGUUGUCCGGAAUCACUGGGCGUAAAGGGCGCGUAGGCGGCCUGAUAAGUAGGGGGUGAAAUCCUGCGGCUUAACCGCAGGGCUGCCUUCUAAACUGUCGGGCUAGAGCACAGUAGAGGCAGGUGGAAUUCCCGGUGUAGCGGUGGAAUGCGUAGAGAUCGGGAAGAACAUCAGUGGCGAAGGCGGCCUGCUGGGCUGUUGCUGACGCUGAGGCGCGACAGCGUGGGGAGCAAACAGGAUUAGAUACCCCUGUAGUCC
rnacentral:rRNA from 1 species